GCUAUCAUCAUAACUAUGCUGAACACAUCUGGUUGCAAAAGAUAGGUAGGAUUGGCCCUGCAUAGUACUUGGAUGAGAGACCACCCAUGAACACCAGGUACAGAAAGGA
ensembl:rRNA 5S_rRNA 5S ribosomal RNA